rnacentral:misc_RNA from 1 species
GAUGAAGAACGCAGCGAAAUGCGAUACGUAAUGUGAAUUGCAGAAUUCAGUGAAUCAUCGAAUCUUUGAACGCAUAUUGCGCUCUCUGGUAUUCCGGAGAGCAUGCUUGUUUGAGUAUCAGUAAACACCUCAACUCCCUUUUCUUUUUUGAAAUUGGAGCUGGAUUUGAGUGAUCCCAACGCUUUCUUCCAAGAAAGUGGCGGGUUGCUUGAAAUGCAGGUGCAGCUGAACUUUUCUCUGAGCUAUACGCAUAUCUAUUUAGUCUGCCUAAAAAACAGAUUAUUACCUUUGCUGCAGCUAACAUAAAGGAGACUAGUUCUUGUGCUGACUGAUGCAGGAUUCACAGAGACAGCUUCGGCUGACUUUGUAAACUCGAUCUCAAAUCAAGUAAGACUACCCGCUGAACUUAAGCAUAUCAAUAAGCGGAGGA